UACGGAGGGUGCAAGCGUUGUUCGGAUUUAUUGGGCGUAAAGCGCGUGUAGGCGGUCUCUUAAGUCUGAUGUGAAAGCCCUGGGCUCAACCCAGGAAGUGCAUUGGAUACUGGGAGACUUGAAUACGGGAGAGGGUAGUGGAAUCCUAGUGUAGGAGUGAAAUGCGCAGAUAUCAGGAGGAACACCAAUGGCGAAGGCAGCUCGCUGGAACGGUACUGACGCUGACAGCGCGAAGCCAGGGAGCAAAGCGGG
rnacentral:rRNA from 1 species